GACGAACGCUGGCGGCGUGCUUAACACAUGCAAGUCGAACGGUAAGGCCCUUCGGGGUACACGAGUGGCGAACGGGUGAGUAACACGUGGGUGAUCUGCCCUGCACUUCGGGAUAAGCCUGGGAAACUGGGUCUAAUACCGGAUAGGACCACUGCCUACAUGGGUGGUGGUGGAAAGCUUUUGCGGUGUGGGAUGGGCCCGCGGCCUAUCAGCUUGUUGGUGGGGUGAUGGCCUACCAAGGCGACGACGGGUAGCCGGCCUGAGAGGGUGACCGGCCACACUGGGACUGAGAUACGGCCCAGACUCCUACGGGAGGCAGCAGUGGGGAAUAUUGCACAAUGGGCGCAAGCCUGAUGCAGCAACGCCGCGUGAGGGAUGACGGCCUUCGGGUUGUAAACCUCUUUUAGCAGGGAAGAAGCGAAAGUGACGGUACCUGCAGAAAAAGCACCGGCUAACUACGUGCCAGCCGCCGCUGUAA
rnacentral:rRNA from 1 species